ensembl:lncRNA
UGUAAUUCAGCCUUCCACUUUUACCUCACUGACCAACAUCUGGUUACUUGGACACAUUCAACUGCCAGAGAGGCUGGAAAACUUACCUUUCUAGCUAUGAGCAUGGCUUUCCCAAAUAAGUUCAGGAUUCAGUUACUGAGAAGGGAGAGAAUGGACAUUGAGUUUUGAGAAUGUCUGUUUACAAUCUGCCACAUCAGAUCCUCAAAACACUAAAGCCUGGUCCUCAAAACACAAAAAGCCGCUUUGCAAGAGAUUGAAAGAUAACUGUUUUCAUUCAGUGUGACACAGAAAAGGUCCAAACCUUUGGUCCAAGGGGAAAGGAGAACUGGACAGCUGCAUACCAACUUCCCACUGUUAUCUCCAAAACAGAAGGAUGAAAAAGAAAAAUCUGACAAGGAAAAGCAUGGCAGCACCGACGCACGCUGAAUGUCAGGCACUGGCUGUGAGUAGAAGUGGACAUCACAGUCCCCAGGAUCCUAGGAAACUGCAUCACGUGGGGGAUCUUCCUGACCCAGGGAUCAAACCCACAUCUCCUCCAAUGGCAGGAUUCUUUACCACUGAGCCACCAGGUGAUUUUCUAAAUUUAUUUUUAACUGGAGGCUAACUGCUUUACAAUGUUGUGCUGGUUUCUGCCAUACAUCAGCGUGAAUCAGCCAUAGGUAUGCAUAUGCCCCCUCCCUCUUAAACUUUCCUCCCAUCUCUCCCACUGCAUCCCACCCCUCUAGGUUGUCACAGAGCCCUGGGUUGAGCUCCACGCAUCAUACAACAAAUUCCCACUGGCUCUCUAUUUUACAUAUGGCAAUGGAUAUGUUUCGGAGCUACUCUCUCAAUUCAUCCACCCUCCCCUUCCUCCACUGUGUACAAGUCUGUUCUCUAUUUCUGCAUCUGUAUUGCUGCCCUAAAAAAUAGAUUCAUCAGUACCAUCUUUCUAGAUUCCAUAUAUUCGGGUUAACACAUGAUAUUUGUUUUUCUUUUUGACUUACUUAACUCGGUAUAACAGGCUCUAGGUUCAUUUACCUCACUAGAACUGACUCAAAUUCCUUCCUUUUUAUGAAGGAGUAAUAUUUCAUUAUAUAUAUGCAUGACAACUUCUUUAUCCAUUCAUCUGUCAUGGAGAUCUAGAUUGCUUCCAUGUCCUGGCAAUUGUAAAUAGUGCUGCAAUGAACAUUGGGGUACAUGUGUUUCGUAGAAUUGUG